GGAUUGUGGCUCAGUGGUAGAGCACUCGUCUAGCACGUGUGAAGUACUGGGUUCGAUUCUCAGCACCA
rnacentral:tRNA from 1 species